CUUCUCUCUUCCGUUGUCACUAUCUCUCAAGAACUGUCGGAAUCUUAGUGUUCUACCCUUAUGUCAAAGUGUCUAAUUUCCGUUUUGAUGAACUGCUACCUGAAAUCUAGGUUUUUUACACAGAUUUCUCACUUUCUCUGCAGCUAAACGCCCGUUCUUAAGGUCUCUAGAGUUCUCACUUUUUCUCUAGCCUGAGCGAAUCGCAGUGUGAUAGUCUAAUCUCCGUUUUCUAGAGCGAAUCGCUGUGCUCUACACCGGUACAUGAAAUCCGGGGUUUUGUACACCAGAUUGCCGUUCUAAACACGAGCUGUUGUCUACAAUCCUCGGUGGCAAGUAUCAAUUGACGUCAACUGUUCUUUUCGUGUGCUUUAAAACAACAGAUUUGAAAGUCCAAGUCAGUUUACCUCGUUUAAAGCUUUGACGAUGAUGUUAAUGUUGACAUUUGGCUCUUCCGACGCUCAAGCUAAGUAACCUAUUACUUAUCUAAUUUCCUACCUUUUUAUCCUAAAUUUAAUAUGUAUUUGUACACCUAUUUACGAUUUAGUGUAGGAUUGCAGAUUAUUUCAUGGAAUGAUGCCUCCUUUUGAUUAAGGUUUUCACAUAACGAUGCAAAUUAGGUUUUUGUAGUCAAUAGUUAACAUGCAACAUAGAAAAUUAAAGAAUAACUAAUUAUUUGUAAUUCUAAAAAAAAAACUAAUUAUUUGUAAAUAUAAUGUGAUCAGAGCUAAUCUAUUAUUUCAAUUUCGCAGGACAGAGGCGAAGUUGUGCGAUGUAUAUCCGCACUGGAAUUCUAAGAUCAUCAAUACAUGGAAAAAUGCAAAUAUUGAUUAAAUAGAAGAUGAUCUUGCUGAGUAUUAUGUUUUCUCAAGAAUCUCAGGGUGUACUUCCGUAUCUCAUUCGACCUCUUUAUAUAGAGGUAGAGGUAGAAUUGAAUUUGGACUCUUAGAGAAAAACGAAGAGUCCUGCCUUGGAAGUUGGAACAAUGAGAAAUAAUAAUUAAGUUUGUUGCAUGUGUUCAAUUAGAUGGUAUCAGUUCAAAUUUGUAAUUUAAACAUGCAGCCAAUUCGCUUUCCAAGGCAAUUCGAAUAA